UGAACGCUAGCUACAGGCUUAACACAUGCAAGUCGAGGGGCAUCAUGGUGGUAGCUUGCUACCGCUGAUGGCGACCGGCGCACGGGUGAGUAACACGUAUCCAACCUGCCUUGAGCUCAGGGAUAGCCCUCUGAAAGGAGGAUUAAUACCUGAUGUGGUUGUUUGCUGACAUCAGCUUUCAAUUAAAGAUUUAUCGGCUCAUGAUGGGGAUGCGUCUGAUUAGCUUGUUGGCGGGGUAACGGCCCACCAAGGCGACGAUCAGUAGGGGUUCUGAGAGGAAGGUCCCCCACAUAGGAACUGAGACACGGUCCUAACUCCUACGGGAGGCAGCAGUGAGGAAUAUUGGUCAAUGGUCGAGAGACUGAACCAGCCAGGUAGCGUGAAGGAUGAACCUGCCCUACGGGUUGUAAACUUCUUUUAUGCGGGAAUAAAGUGUGGCACGUGUGCCAUUUUGUAUGUACCGCAUGAAUAAGCAUCGGCUAAUUCCGUGCCAGCAGCUGC
rnacentral:rRNA from 1 species